UGAUAGCGUUGAAGCGUGAGGUUGCUGCAAGACGAAGAAUACUUUGGACUGCAGGUUUUCCGUGGAGCGAAUGUCAAGUUAGGAAACUGGCGACAA
rfam:Hespellia stercorisuis DSM 15480 genome assembly, contig: EJ65DRAFT_scaffold00005.5